UUCAUUUGAAUAAUGUUUGUGUUCUUUUUCAUUUUCUAGCUCUUGAUUAUUUAUUUCAUUUUCCCAUUUAUUAUUCAUUGAAGUAGAGGGUAAUAUAGUUUUAAAUUAUAAUCUUCAAAAAGCUGUUCGUCUAUUCCCAAACAAGGUUUGUGCACUGUUAGGCAACUUGCUAAUAUUCGUUCAAAACAAAACUAAAAACCGAUUGUCAGAAGAUUUUUCAUUUUUGCACUGCUGUUUGACUCAACUGUAAAAAUUAGACGUGUCGACAUAAUCGUUGCUUCAGCCAAAGCAGUCUUUAAUAGGACAGUAUAACUGCAUGUAAUUCAUUGAUAGGAUAUGAUGUUGUACGGCUGUUAUUUUGUUGUGCAGAAGCAGAGAGUUUUUCUAAUUUUGCCUUGUUUGUUUGAGACUGUAUUUACAGAUCGUCAUGGACUGUGAGGUGUCUGUUAUACUUGAAGAUGAAGAAAAAAAGAACAAGCUGGUGUAAAGUACCGACAGAUUUAUAAUGUGACAGGUGACCCUUGGCAUCGAUUAUAUACGCCAAGUGACCUGUUUACCGGCCAUCCCAGCUCUCACCUGUUGGAUGACUUCCAAUGGCUGAAGUUUCGCCACCAUGGCGAAAUCUCUUCAGUUACCAUAAAACGUGGGACCCUCGAUUUGUAAUUCACAACAGUUUUCCCAUUUCAACUGAACCGACACCAACUUGAAUUGCAGUGCCGGCAGGCUGUAAAUUAAAAAUGUAUAGUCUAGGAGGAAGCUUUUGCCAUCCAUUUUCCUGAUCGUCAUGUUCACGGGGACCGUGUCUGCUCGUGUGUGGAAUUACGCCGAGGGUAACCACGUCCGUUGGUCGGGAAAUUGCAAUUUCAGUGGCUACGACUUCCAGCAAGUUCACGUGUCAAACGACAAGUGCGGAAGAGCUUGUCUCGACCACUGGGCCUGCACUCAUUUCAGCAACACUUGUAAUACCUGUUUCCUAAAGAGGAAUACGGCCGGAUGGACUGAACAAUUUUCCCGUUACGAAGACUGCGGAUUCAUCCCUGGCCGCAGCAACCAAAGCACUGAUCCUCAAAAAAUUACUAUUGAGCGUUAUGGGAUUUAUUAACAAUUUUUACGUUCCCUCUAUGUUGUAUCGUCGGAAGAUGAAGUGGACAUCACUACACAUUUUUCGCAGAAGAAGUUUAAGUUUUUCAUGUUUCCUUAUCUUUUAUUCUGUAUUUUUACUUGCGAGAUUCAUACAACAUG